UGGGGAAUUGUUCGCAAUGGGCGCAAGCCUGACGACGCAACGCCGCGUGGAGGACGAAGAUCUUCGGGUCGUAAACUCCUGUCGAGCGGGAAGAAACCCGCGGGGGUGAAUAAUCCCUGCGGCUGACGGUACCGCUAAAGGAAGCCCCGGCUAACUCCGUGCCAGCAGCCGCGGUAAUACGGGGGGGGCAAGCGUUGUUCGGAAUUACUGGGCGUAAAGGGCUCGUAGGCGGCCAACUAAGUCGGAUGUGAAAUCCCCAGGCUCAACCUGGGAACUGCAUCCGAUACUGGAUGGCUUGAAUCCGGGAGAGGGAUGCAGAAUUCCAGGUGUAGCGGUGAAAUGCGUAGAUAUCUGGAGGAAUACCGGUGGCGAAGGCGGCAUCCUGGACCGGCAUUGACGCUGAGGAGCGAAAGCCAGGGGAGCAAACGGGAUUAGAUACCCCGGUAGUCCCUGGCCCUAAACGAUGAAUGCUUGGUGUGACGGGUAUCGAUCCCUGUCGUGCCGAAGCUAACG
rnacentral:rRNA from 1 species